UAUAAUUAUUUUUAAAAUUUUUUUUAUUUAUAUAAUAUAAUAUUAAUUGUUUUUGGCUUGAAGGGUGGGGAUGAGCUGUAGUUUUGGCAUAUUGUAAAAGGAGCUGUGUGAAAGUGAUAAUUGAUUACACUGAUUGCAGGGCUUUCAAUUUUGAUACAGUUUGAGCCAAGGGUGCGUUGUGGCCUGCCCAUGUGAUUGCAGAACAGUAGUCCCUUCGGCAGAAUUUUGAAAAACAAAUAUAUAAUUAUUAAAAAAAAAAUCCUUCAAAAAUUUUGAAUGAAACAUUCUUUCUAUUGUUUCUGAAAUCAGGAUGGAUCCGCUCGGUUCAAUUGAAAAAUCGAAAAUAUUCAAAUUGGAUUAAAAUCUGGUAAUUCGGUCGAG
rnacentral:misc_RNA from 1 species